GGGGAUUUAGCUCAGUGGUAGAGCGUUUGCCUAGGAAGCGCAAGGCCCUGGGUUCAGUCCCCAGCUCCG
rfam:Rattus norvegicus chromosome 15, whole genome shotgun sequence.